rnacentral:lncRNA from 12 species
AUUUGAUGAAAACUCUAUCACCUCUUUGUAACUAGGAUAAGGGAUUGGAUUCUCUUACUUUGUGAUUCCAAAUCUCUCACUAGCAGAGUGGGUAAAAACAUGCAUAAGGCUGAAUCCUUGUGCUUCACAGGUGGAUGUGUCUGCCGUCAAAAACUGCACAGAGAGCAGAGGUGAAGAGAGCAUGUUCUAGAUGUCCCUCCUUGGUGCACCUUCCCACAGAUGAAUCUCCCAAGACACAGAGAGUCAUUUCUCAAACCUUCUUACAGAAUCAACUGCAGAAUCACAGAAGUGUGCUGAUGUGGCAUGAUGAAGACAGAAAGAUCCACAUGUCUGACAAUUCUACAAAAAUACCACUAUUACUUGGAUGCAGUGAGCCACUGUGGGUGAAGUGCCCAGCUGAGCAAUUGUCCUUCAAAUGGCUACAGGCAGCAGAUAAAAGAGACAGGAAUAGCUCCUCGGUCCUUUUAAAUAGGCUUAUGAUUUUAAAUCAAAGCUGCUGCUUUGCCCACUGCUGAUCAUAAAUUUGCCCAGUGUGCCUGGAGCGAUUGGCCAACCCUGGAGUGCCAGACCUAUCACAGUGGUACAUCAGUUCCAUCCCUACCUCCAGAGACCAGAGAACACAAAAACCUGGGGUUUAGUGCCUUCCUGGGGGAGUUUGCACCCAAGUUCCCUUCUCUGUUACAGCUUUCUCACCAAACAAAGUUAGAGUGGUGGUAAAGCAGCUGAGCAUGGACAGAUCAAAAAUCCAGCAUGGGAAGUAGAUAUUAUCAUAAAGUGGGAGAAGAGGUUUCUUUUUUUCACUCAAUUUACCACCCUCAGAGACACAAAUUCAGAAUGCUCAUAAGCCAUAAUAAAACCAGGUCACAUGAUUUGAAAGGUGAAUAUGUUUGUAUGGAUCUGACAGGCGUUAAUGGUGAUUUUCAAUUGAAAAAGUAAUCCUGGAAGACAAAUUGCUUGUUAAACAAGUCUAACAGCAUUACUGUUUUCUAACAGCAUUACUUUCUGAAGCCAAGUGUUGCAGUAUAUAAAGUGUCGUGCUACCCUUAUUUAGGGGAAGAUCCUUAUGAAUGUGAUAAUCUUUUAAGGUCCAAUUUUAUCAUAUAAUGUGCUCCAACCCAUGUUUCCUACGUAUGCUUCAUAAUGAGAUUAGUACAGUAUAAAUCUUUGUGCAAUUUAAAUAAAUUGUCUCUCAAGUGUCUCCCAUUAGAAAUAUAUUGUUCUGUAUUUGCCUAAGGGCAGUGAUGUUGUAACCCAUAAUUAAGUGUUUA